rnacentral:rRNA from 1 species
GAUGAACGCUGGCGGCGUGCCUAAUACAUGCAAGUCGAGCGAACGGACGAGAAGCUUGCUUCUCUGAUGUUAGCGGCGGACGGGUGAGUAACACGUGGAUAACCUACCUAUAAGACUGGGAUAACUUCGGGAAACCGGAGCUAAUACCGUAUAAUAUUUUGAACCGCAUGGUUCAAAAGUGAAAGACGGUCUUGCUGUCACUUCUAGCUGCAUCCGCGCUGCAUUAGCUAGUUGGUAAGGUAACGGCUUACCAAGGCAACGAUGCAUAGCCGACCUGAGAGGGUGGGCGGCCACACUGGGACUGAGACACGGUCCAGACUCCUACGGGAGGCAGCAGGAGGGAAUCUUCCGCAAGGGGCGAAAGCCUGACGGAGCAACGCCGCGUGAGUGAUGAAGGUCUUCGGAUCGUAAAACUCUGUUAUUAGGGAAGAACAUAUGUGUAAGUAACUGUGCACAUCUUGACGGUACCUAAUCAGAAAGCCACGGCUAACUACGUG